UUUAGCGUUCCUUAGGUGUUGACUGGAUGAAGCCAAAAUAAAGCCAGCCAAUGCCUAGCCAACAAAGUUUUGAUUGAUGGGGAUAGUAACCAAUCAUAAACGAUUACAAGGAUUCAGUUUGAUUGGUUUGUGUCGGUAAAAUGUGCGUCUGCGCAGAUCUGCGCAAACACACGUACGCUUGCGCAACCAAAUGCUGUUAUGCUAGCGGCUAUGGCUAGUUAUACAGAGCUUAAAGAAACGAUAAGGUUUAGAUAUAAAUAUCUCCGUUUUGGAUCGUCGAUUGCAGAUUACUUUUUUGUUUUGGAGAAGGUGAUGAGGAGCACGAGCGAGGUGCAAAAAGACCAGACUCUAUCAAAAUAAAGACGCGUCACCAGAGAUGCAUUGAGCAGUGGAGCUGCUGCUCAGAUACAUGAGACUGGUGUCUGAGGAUCCUGCCAUGGCUCAUGCGACCCAUGAAGAUGGAGUUGAUGGAGUUGAAGAAACUGGAUUUUCCAGCACAUACAGGACUGAUCAUUAGGUUUCGAGCUCGGUUCACAGAGGACACAAGGGGUUUAUGAUCUUUGAUACGCUUCAAGAGGUCUUGUUUUUGCCUAUGGAAGCAGUUAAAUCUUAUUAUUUACUGGCUUUUAAUAGUUGCAUAAAAUAAGCAACAUGUUAAAAACAACAUUUUGUAAAAACAUACCCAGGUAUCCACAGAAUAUUUCUCCAUGGCUUCUCUUUGACUGGACCUGCAGUGACCUGUGAGACAACUAGAAGACAAAUAUUGAUUGAUGAUUUAAAUGUGCUGUCAAAUAUAAUAAACAAUGUUAAUGAAGUCCCAAAUUUAUUGUUAAACCUAGUUAUAAAAACUUUAUUCUGACUUACUCUUCUUCACUUUGUACACAUCACAUUCUCGGAGCUGAGAGUCGCAUCCAUACAUGGUUAAGGGAUCAAAAUCUCCAUUUCCGGAUUUCCCUGCCUCACGUAUGUAAGAUCGUUUGUUUGGAGUCUCUGUUUGUUCCAGCCAUUGUGUUCCUUUUGCUCCUCCAGAGACUACUAUCCGGGUUGUCCAUGCCAGUGUUGCUCUUGCAUCUUUCACCGUGUGACGUUGUCCGGGGCCCGAGGAGUUCUUACAAACAGAUUGAUGGCAACAAUGAACAUGUAUGAUUCAGGGGUGAAGAAGGCCUUUGAAAACACGGCUAUGUCGUGUUAUAAUAGGUGCUGUACAGUGGUCCAAACCUUCAGGGUCAGAGGCUGAAAUAAAAAAAUACAUGGGGAGCUAUCUCCAGUCUGCUCGUGAUAGAUGUGGGGGUAUGGGACGACAAAAGGGGAAAUCUGCAAUUAAUCUCUUACGGUGGUCUUCAAUCUCACGGCAUUGUAAUGAAAGAACAUUGAAUAAAGCUUGAGGAUCAUCAGUUGAAGAAUCACUAUUUUAUUAAGCCAGGGAGCUACAACAUGAGGGUUUACAGUAAGCUUGAUUUCUAGUGGAUGAUGGAAAUGUUGGUAAAACCUGAUUACAUUUACAUUACAUUUAAGUUUUUCACAAUAAAUGAACAUAAUGAAUGUGUAACAAAUAAUCUUUGUUUUCUGCACUAUUCUACGUUUCAUAAAAAAUAUUUUUAUUUCUUUUCUCCACAUUGCGGUGGGGUUUGAGGAGGUGAGGUUGAUGCUCCUCUUCUUGAUAUUGUAAAUCAAUCCGUUAAGUUUUUUGAUCGGGGAGACCAUACCCUCAGAUGCUUCCUGCAAAUAAAGCAAACAGAGAUUUAAGAUAUUAAAUAACUUUUUUUUAUCGAAUUUGUUUUGCUCAGAGCUCUGGUAUAAAUCUACCUGUGCAGUACAUGGAGCCGGACGCUUAAGACAGGGACGCUGAGGAGGAGAGACGGGAGGAGGCACUUGCCGGAUUGGCUGAUUUUUGGCAUUGGCUCCACCUCAUCCUGAGCUCCAUUAUUUUGCUAAGAUGGAGCCCGACGCUUCAUUAACGGAGGCAGGAAAGGAGACGCAAGAGGAGGCGUUUGAUUCUGAGGAGGUGAAAGUCUACACAUACAAAUAAAGAUACUAUGAAUUUGGAAAGACUUUGAUAAACUUACUGAGAUAAGGAACCGUCGUCCUCAAUCUCCAUGUCCUCAACAGCAUCUGUGUUGAUUUGCUGUAAGUCAAAACAAUCAGAGAUUUAAAACAUUUACAUGAAACUACUUUUUUAUUAAUAUUGGCACAAAUAAUGUUCACAAUCUACUUGAGAGGACGGAGGUGUCUGGGGCUAUGGAGGCGCAACUGCGGCUUGAGGCUGUGGAGCAGGAGCAGGAAAGAAGAGAAGCCCUGGUGGUGGCUCUGGAGCAGGUACGAGGGGGCCCUCAGUUGGAGGGUCAGCAGGAGGAGGGAUGGUCUCAACUGGUUCAUCCUCUUCAUUUGAAGAGAGAUCUGAAUCUUCCAGAUCCUCGAGGACCCAUGAUGGAAGUUGGCAUUUCAUGUCAACAAAUAUCAUGGGAAACCUCGGAACACAUAUGAAAAGCUAUAUGUCAGAAGAAGGAUCUUCAUACCUCUCGAUGAACCGGUUGAGCUCGAUCAAUUUUUGGGCCCACCGCUCUUCUUUCCGGAGUCGAAGCAUCUCCCUGUCUAGUGUGUCCCUCACCAGACUACACGCCUCCUCCGAGGUCAGGGCGAAGCUGACCAAACUUUGCCCUACCUUGAAUCUGCAUGGGAGAAAAAUUAUCUUUGUAAACUAUCUCGGCUCCAUAACAAUAAGUUUAGCGUCUGAUCAGCGUUACUGAAUCCCUGGAAGUCAAAACACAAAAACUGUUACUGCAACGAAACAACUAAAGAUCUGUGAGUCCUUACCGGAAUUCUGCAGACACGUAUCCCCAUCCGGAGAAACGGACCAGAUCGAAGACUAAAGUCUCUGCCCUCACCUUGAGAUCUUUAGUCUCCGUGUCCUUGAUAUUCUUCUAGAAAUCACAUCAUCAUCAGUUAGGUUAUGUGCAAGUUUCUGUUAAACACUCUGGUUGGUAUUGAAAUGUGAUGUUUUACUUGUGCGAUUACAUAAUUCCUCACUAUAAAAACUCUCUGAAGAUGACACAAGCAGACAGAAUCUCACCUGAUGUGUGCCAGCUGCCUUGGCGGAUGGAGGUGUGGACUCCUCAAAAGAAGCGUUGUGGUCCACCGUGUCAGAAAGGUCACUCCACUGCGAAGAACCUUCUGAGAACAAAACAAAGAGGUUAAAUGAAACAACUUGAUGACAACAGAAUGAUUUUCACAAAUAUACUAAAUCAAGUCCAUCCACACCUUUCACGGGAGCUGGUAGCUUCAUCUGAGCUCUGCGGACCCGACCGAUCCAAGGCCCAAAUGGUGCUGGUUGGAUGCUGAGUGGCUCAACCUCACUACAGUCCACUCUUCUUUCCGGAGGCGAAGCAUCUCCCUGUCUAGUGUGUCCCUCACCAGACUUCCUCCGAGGUCAGGGCGAAGCUGACCAAACUUUGCCCUACCUUGAACCUGCAUGAAAGAAAAAUUAUCAUUGUAAACUAUCUCGGCUCCCUAACAAUUAGUUUAGCGUCUGAUCAGCGUUACUUAAUCGCUGGAAGUCAAAACACAAAAAAUGUUACUGCAACGACACAACUAAAGAUCUGUGAGUCCUUACCGGAAUUCUGCAGACACGUAUCCGCAUCCGGAGAAACGGACAAGAUCGAAGACUAAAGUCUCUGCCCUCACCUUGAGAUCUUUAGUCUCCGUGUCCUUGAUAUUCUCCUAGAAAUCACAUCAUCAUCAGUUGAUGAUCGUCCACACCUUUCACGGGAGCUGGUGGCUUCAAUUCAGCCCUGGGGACCACCCGGCCGAUCCAGGGCAGAGAGAGAGGUGCUGGUUGGAUGCUGAACGGCUCGACCCCACAACAGAGGAACUCCUGAUCCGACAAAUAAAUAAAAAAAUCAGUCAGUAAAUCUUCAAAUCUUGCAAAUGGACAGCUCUUAUUUAAGACACAUGAGUACAGACAUUCAUUACAAAGAGUUUUAAUGUUGUCUAAGUCUUAUGUUACCCUUUGGUGAGAGAGCUGGUGUCAUAGCCUGUACCAGACUCAGAAGAUAGCUCAUGGUGGGAUGAAGACUCUGACCCCCCCUCCUCAAAGUCUUCAUCCUCGACCACGGCUUUCUCCUCUGGAGAAAGAUCCCCAGCGUCAUCCUUUAACCCAGCAUAUCGUCUAGGAUGUUCAUUCUGAGAUUCAGUGUAAGUGUGGUAAAGGAAAGCAAAACACUUCAAAGCUUCAAAUAAUUGUUAUUUUCAGAAAAUUUUCAUUAACUGCCAAAAAUAAUGAUCAGGUUACACAUGGGAAUAGUAUUAAUAUGAAAUUCAUCAAAAAGUCCUUUGGCUAACAGUGUCUCUAUCUCUCACACAUUUCACAUUAGUGUUUUUUCAUACUCUGUAAACCACUGAACAUCAGUCACAGAUAUUGUUAGACAGAUUACAGGUGACAACGUAUUAAUUUAGAGGCUUCCUCUGCUCUUGGCACCACAGGAGUUGGAGGGGUGGCGGCUCCGUCAGCCGGAGUCAGUUCGGACCUCACCGAACUGUAUGCAUCCUCCUACAAAUCUCUCUCAAAUUUGUUUUGUUCAGGGCUCUGGUAUAAAUCUACCUGUGAAGAGCAUGGAGCCGGACGCUUGAGCGAGCGACGCCGAGUAGGUGAGGCGGGAGGAGACACUAGCCGGAUUGGCCGACUGUUAUUAGUUGAAUGUCUAUAAACACAUAUAAAAGUAUUGUGAGAAUUGCGUCAGCAAACAUUACAGCGCUAAAACAUCUAAAAUAAAAAACUAAAUGUAAUAUUACAAAGGUUAAGGCUGAAAUGAAGACUUGCUGAGAAACAGAAGAGCAGUCGGCCACGGCACUGUCUGCUUUAUUUUGCUGUAAAUAAAACAAUUAAAGAUUUAAUAAAUGAAAUGAAAUUGUCAAUUAAAUUGUCACUAAUAACGUUUAGGGCAGAGGUCUCCAAACUUUCUGUGAGCAAGGGCGACCACAAUGGAUAAAACAAUCUGGAGGGCUACUUUUUGAUAUAGUCUACUUUAACACGUUGGAGUCCUCUGGAUUAAGGCUUUGGUUAAAUCUACCUGAGAGGAGGAUGGCGUCUCGACUGGAGGAGGCGUGACUUCAUUCGACAUCCUCUGUAGUUUGGCUCUCUUUGCGGCCGGCUCCAUCUCAUCCUGAAGAUUAAAUACACGUAUAUUAAAACAAAAUGAAAAAAACAUUGAGUUCUGCUAAAGGCUUCGGUUUAAAUCUACCUGUGAAGAAGGAGCCGGCCGUUUGAGAGCGCGACGCUGAGGACGAGAGGCGGGAGGAGGCACUUUACUGUGUCGAGGUGAAAGUCUACAUAAAUUCUGAAAGUCUGAGGAGGCGCAGCCGGAGUGGUCGAGCCAUUUGGAGGUGAAGGCCUAAAAACACAUUUAAAAAUAUUGUUAAGAACUGUUUCUGCAAACAUUUACCAACAGCUAUUUGUAAUAUUACAACAGUUACAGAUAAAAAUUGACACAAUUUGUUUAACUUACUGAGACACAAGAGUACAUAUCUCCGCAGAGGUCAGGGCAAAGCAGACCAAAAUUUGCCCUACCUUAAAUCUGCAAGGGAGAAAAAUAAUCAUUGUAAACUAUCACGGCUCCCUAACAAUUAAUUAGGCAUCUGAUCAGCAUGACUUAAUCGCUGAAUGUCAAAACUCAAAUAUGUUACUGCAACAAAACAACUGAAAAUCUGUGAGUCCUUACCGGAAUUCUGCAGACACGUAUCCGCAUCCGGAGUAAUAGGCCGAAAUCAAAGACUGAAGUCCAUGCCCUCGCCAUGAGAUCUUUAGCCUUGAUAUCCUCCUAGAAAUCACAUCAUCAUCAGUUAGGUUAUGUAUGAGACAAGCAGACAGAAUCUUACCUGAUGUGUGCAGGCUGCCUUCGUGGAUGGUGGUGUGGUCCCCUUAUGAGAGACAUGGAGGUCCACCGUGUCCCAAAGGUCUUUCCACAAUGGAAAACCUUCUCAGAACAAAGCAAAGAUGUUAAAUGAAACAACUUGAUGACAACAAAAUGAAUUUCACAAAUAUACUAAAUCAAGUGUGUCCACACCUUUCACUGGAGCUUGUGGCUUCAUGUUAGCUCUGGGGACCAACCGACCGAUCCAAGGCAGAGAUGGAGCUUGAUGGAUGCAGAGCGGCUCAACCCCACUGCAGUCGUCCACAACAGAGGAACUCCGGAUCCGACAAAUAUAUCAAAACAAUAAGUCAGUUAAUUAGAGAGAGCUGGUGUCCAAGCCUGUACCAGACUCCGAAGAAAGCUCAUGAUCGGAGGAAGACACUGACGCCUCCUCCUCAAAGUCUUCAUCCUCUACAAUGGCCUUCUCCUCUGGACCUGUAAGUGAAAAGAAGAGAUAAGAAUUAAGGAUCCCAGAAUCAUCCUUUAAUCCAGCAUAUCGUCCAGGAUUGUCAAUCUGAGAUUGAGUGUCAUAUGGCUUCCUCUGCUGUCGACAAUGCAGGAGUCGGCGGAGCGGCGGCUCCAUCAGCUGGAGUCAGUUCGGACCUCACUGAGCUGCGAGGUUCCUCCUAGAAAUCACAUCAUCAUCAGUUAGGUUAUGUAUGAUGCAAGCAGACAGAAUCUCACCUGAUGUGUGCAGGCUGCCUUUGUGGAUGGUGGUGUGGACUCCUCAUGAGAGACAUCAAGGUCCACCGUGUCCCAUAGGCCAUUCCACACUGGAAAACCUUCUCAGAACAAAGCAAAUAUGUUAAAUGAAAUAACUUGAUGACAACAAAAAGAUUUUCACAAAUAUACUAAAUCAAGUGCGUCCACACCUUUCACAGGAGCUGGUGGCUUCAUGUCAGCUCUGGGGACCAACCGACCGAUCCAAGGCAAAGAUGGUGCUUGAUGGAUGCUGAGAGGCUCAACCCCACUGCAGUCGUCCACAACAGAGUAACUCCUGAUCCGACAAAUAUAUCAAAACAAUAAGUCAGUUAAUUAGAGUAAGAGAGCUGGUGUCAAAGGUGUACCAGACUCUGAAGAAAGCUUAUGAUCGGAUGAAGACUCUGACGCCUCCUCCUCAAAGUCUUCUUCCUCGACCAUGGCCUUCUCCUCUGGACCUGUAAGUGAAAAGAACAGAUAAGAAUUAAGGAUCCCAGGAUCAUCUUUUAAUCCAGUGUAAGAAUUGCUGUAAUAUCCUGACCAAAAGGCACCACCCCCUGGGAGACACAGCGGGACCACAGGUGCUUGCGACAACAAGGACAUUCAAAGAGAUAUCUUUACAUCACUACCGGUUUCCUCCCGAACUCACAGCAAGGGAGCCGAGAUCCCGCAACACCUCCCUCGAGAAUCAGAACUCAGUGGACUCCCCAUUUGGUUUUCAAACAACACAUCCUGAGGCAAAUUGUGACUCUGCGGCCAAAAGGUCUAACCCCCUCUGCCUCUCCUUUCUCUCCUUGCACUCUUGACACAGGACAUUCUAAGGUUUCAUUGAAUAAUUAUGUGAAAAGACAUAUAUAUCCCAUGCAAAUAACAAUUUAAAGUGUUCAUGUUUCCUAUCUUUGCAAAGGUUCUGUUAAGUUGGUUUUGAAUUAUUUCAUAUUUCUCAUGAUUGAUUUAUAUGUCAUGUUGAUUGAAUUGACUUUUGAAUAUUGAUUGAAUUGAUUUUGAAUCAUUGUGCCGUUUACCUUGUAAAUAAAUUGUUACAUUUGUAUUCAUUCUAA